AUUGAACGCUGGCGGCAGGCCUAACACAUGCAAGUCGAACGGUAACAGGAAGAAGCUUGCUUCUUUGCUGACGAGUGGCGGACGGGUGAGUAAUGUCUGGGAAACUGCCUGAUGGAGGGGGAUAACUACUGGAAACGGUAGUUAAUACCGCAUAACGUCGCAAGACCAAAGAGGGGGACCUUCGGGCCUCUUGCCAUCGGAUGUGCCCAGAUGGGAUUAGCUAGUAGGUGGGGUAACGGCUCACCUAGGCGACGAUCCCUAGCUGGUCUGAGAGGAUGACCAGCCACACUGGAACUGAGACACGGUCCAGACUCCUACGGGAGGCAGCAGUGGGGAAUAUUGCACAAUGGGCGCAAGCCUGAUGCAGCCAUGCCGCGUGUAUGAAGAAGGCCUUCGGGUUGUAAAGUACUUUCAGCGGGGAGGAAGGGAGUAAAGUUAAUACCUUUGCUCAUUGACGUUACCCGCAGAAGAAGCACCGGCUAACUCCGU
rnacentral:rRNA from 1 species